GAUGAACGCUGGCGGCGUGCCUAAUACAUGCAAGUCGAGCGAACGGACGAGAAGCUUGCUUCUCUGAUGUUAGCGGCGGACGGGUGAGUAACACGUGGAUAACCUACCUAUAAGACUGAGAUAACUUCGGGAAACCGUAGCUAAUACCGGAUAAUAUUUUGAACCGCAUGGUUCAAAAGUGAAAGACGGUCUUGCUGUCACUUAUAGAUGGAUCCGCGCUGCAUUAGCUAGUUGGUAAGGUAACGGCUUACCAAGGCAACGAUGCAUAGCCGACCUGAGAGGGUGAUCGGCCACACUGGAACUGAGACACGGUCCAGACUCCUACGGGAGGCAGCAGUAGGGAAUCUUCCGCAAUGGGCGAAAGCCUGACGGAGCAACGCCGCGUGAGUGAUGAAGGUCUUCGGAUCGUAAAACUCUGUUAUUAGGGAAGAACAUAUGUGUAAGUAACUGUGCACAUCUCGACGGUACCUAAUCAGAAAGCCACGGCUAACUACGUG
rnacentral:rRNA from 1 species